GAUGAACGCUGGCGGCGUGCCUAAUACAUGCAAGUCGAGCGAACAGACGAGGAGCUUGCUCCUCUGACGUUAGCGGCGGACGGGUGAGUAACACGUGGAUAACCUACCUAUAAGACUGGGAUAACUUCGGGAAACCGGAGCUAAUACCGGAUAAUAUAUUGAACCGCAUGGUUCAAUAGUGAAAGACGGUUUUGCUGUCACUUAUAGAUGGAUCCGCGCCGCAUUAGCUAGUUUGUAAGGUAACGGCUUACCAAGGCAACGAUGCGUAGCCGACCUGAGAGGGUGAACCGCCACCAUGGAAAUGAGACACGGUCCAGACUCCUACGGGAGGCCGCAGUAGGGAAUCUUCCGCAAUGGGCGAAAGCCUGACGGAGCAAAGGCGCGUGAGUGAUGAAGGUCUUCGGAUCGUAAAACUCUGUUAUUAGGGAAGAAAAAAUGUGUAAGUAACUAUGCACGUCUUGACGGUACCUAAUCAGAAAGCCACGGCUAACUACGUG
rnacentral:rRNA from 1 species